AGAGUUUGAUCCUGGCUCAGAUUGAACGCUGGCGGCGUGCUUAACACAUGCAAGUCGAACGAGAAAGGGACUUCGGUCCUGAGUAGAGUGGCGCACGGGUGAGUAACGCGUAGGUAAUCUACCUCUGCAUCUGGGAUAACACUUCGAAAGGGGUGCUAAUACCGGAUACACUUAUGGGUCGCAAGGCGUAUAAGGAAAGGAGACGAUCCGCAAGGAGUUUCUGUGUAGAGAUGAGCCUGCGUCCCAUUAGCUAGUUGGUAGGGUAAUGGCCUACCAAGGCGACGAUGGUUAGCUGGUCUGAGAGGAUGAUCAGCCACACUGGAACUGACACACGGUCCAGACUCCUACGGGAGGCAGCAGUGAGGAAUUUUGCGCAAUGGGGGCAACCCUGACGCAGCAACGCCGCGUGAGUGAUGAAGGCCUUUGGGUCGUAAAACUCUGUCAGCAGGAAAGAAGUUACAUGUGGUUAAUACCCAUGUGUAUUGACGGUACCUGCAAAGGAAGCACCGGCUAACUCCGUGCCAGCAGCCGCGGUAACACGGAGGGUGCAAGCGUUAUUCGGAAUUAUUGGGCGUAAAGGGCGCGUAGGCGGCCGAACAGGUCAGGUGUGAAAGCCCGGGGCUUAACCCCGGAAGUGCAUUUGAAACCUUUUGGCUUGAGUAUGGGAGAGGAGAGCGGAAUUCCUGGUGUAGAGGUGAAAUUCGUAGAUAUCAGGAGGAACACCGGUGGCGAAGGCGGCUCUCUGGACCAAUACUGACGCUGAGGCGCGAAGGCGUGGGUAGCAAACAGGAUUAGAUACCCUGGUAGUCC
rnacentral:rRNA from 1 species